rnacentral:rRNA from 1 species
CAAUAGCGUAUAUUAAAGUUGUUGCAGUUAAAAAGCUCGUAGUUGAAUUUUUGCUUGCCGCCGAUGUCGGAACUUCCGUACGUUCGGCGGCGUGCAUCCUUGGGUGGAACCUGUGUGGCAUUAGGUUGUCGUGCAGGGGAUGCUCAUCGUUUACUGUGAAAAAUUUAGAGUGUUCAAAGCAGGCUUACGCCGUUGAAUAUAUUAGCAUGGAAUAAUAAGAUAGGACCUUGGUACUAUUUUGUUGGUUUGCGCACCGAGGUAAUGAUUAACAGGGACAGUUGGGGGUAUUCGUAUUCCAUUGUCAGAGGUGAAAUUCUUGGAUUUCUGGAAGACGAACUACUGCGAAAGCAUUUACCAAGGAUGUUUUCAUUAA